AUUGAACGCUGGCGGCAUGCCUUACACAUGCAAGUCGGACGGUAACAGGUCUUCGGAUGCUGACGAGUGGCGAACGGGUGAGUAAUACAUCGGAACGUGCCUAGUAGUGGGGGAUAACUACUCGAAAGAGUGGCUAAUACCGCAUGAGAUCUACGGAUGAAAGCAGGGGAUCGCAAGACCUUGUGCUACUAGAGCGGCCGAUGGCAGAUUAGGUAGUUGGUGGGAUAAAAGCUUACCAAGCCGACGAUCUGUAGCUGGUCUGAGAGGACGAUCCGCCACACUGGGACUGAGACACGGCCCAGACUCCUACGGGAGGCAGCAGUGGGGAAUUUUGGACAAUGGGCGCAAGCCUGAUCCAGCAAUGCCGCGUGCAGGAUGAAGGCCUUCGGGUUGUAAACUGCUUUUGUACGGAACGAAAAGCCCUGGGUUAAUACCCUGGGGUCAUGACGGUACCGUAAGAAUAAGCACCGGCUAACUACGUGCCAGCCGCCGCCGUAAUAC
rnacentral:rRNA from 1 species